CACGGCCCAGACUCCUACGGGAGGCAGCAGUGGGGAAUAUUGCACAAUGGGCGAAAGCCUGAUGCAGCGACGCCGCGUGAGGGAUGACGGCCUUCGGGUUGUAAACCUCUUUCAGCAGGGAAGAAGCGAGAGUGACGGUACCUGCAGAAGAAGCGCCGGCUAACUACGUGCCAGCAGCCGCGGUAAUACGUAGGGCGCAAGCGUUGUCCGGAAUUAUUGGGCGUAAAGAGCUCGUAGGCGGCUUGUCACGUCGAUUGUGAAAGCCCGAGGCUUAACCUCGGGUCUGCAGUCGAUACGGGCUAGCUAGAGUGUGGUAGGGGAGAUCGGAAUUCCUGGUGUAGCGGUGAAAUGCGCAGAUAUCAGGAGGAACACCGGUGGCGAAGGCGGAUCUCUGGGCCAUUACUGACGCUGAGGAGCGAAAGCGUGGGGAGCGAACAGGAUUAGAUACCCUGGUAGUCCACGCCGUAAACGGUGGGAACUAGGUGUUGGCGACAUUCCACGUCGUCGGUGCCGCAGCUAACGCAUUAAGUUCCCCGCCUGGGGAGUACGGCCGCAAGGCUAAAACUCAAAGGAAUUGACGGGGGCCCGCACAAGCGGCGGAGC
rnacentral:rRNA from 1 species